rnacentral:lncRNA from 1 species
ACUUGUCUUAACCUGACACUGGUCUUGGGUCAUGAGGGUGGUCUAGCAGGAGGCAGGGUUAGCAGCCAAAACAUAAUCCAUGUUCUUGACUCCCCCGUAGAGAGCCAGCUCCUUGUAAAUGUGGAGGUACUGCAAGAGUCACCUUCAGGCUCCUCCCGGGAAUAGCCAACUGUGGAAAACCACCCUCAGGGACAGGGUAGAGGAAUGCAUAAAAGCCCAGCAGAGCUCUUCCUGGACUAAUUCCUUCCCCCUGCUUGCUGGUUGCCUCAAUCCUGAGGAAGCAUGAUGCUCUCCAAGGUUCUGGUGAUCUCUAUCUUGUGUGCUCUGGGUAUGGCUUUCCCCAGAGUGAACAAAGAACCAAUCCUCUAUGACCCAUUAGGCUCAUCCAUUGAAGAACUACUAAAUUUAGCUAUUGAAAGUGAAGAACGACUGAAUUUAAUCAUUGCCAUGCUAAAGUCAACCAAUAAUCUACCCACACCAAUUGAGAAAGAGGUAAAAGAUAAACGACACAAUGACAAACACAAUGAUUCAACUGCUGACUUUAAGCUCUCUCUGGACUUCAUGUCAUUCACAGAAGAGUAUGACAACAGCACACAGAUUUCUGUAUCUACUCUUGAGGCUGAGACAGUCCCCACCAUUUUCCUGGAAGAAACCACUGAGAUCCCAGGCGGGACCCCCACCUUCACUCGAAAUCUUGACUUUACAGCAGAGUAAAGGUUCCAUUUGCUGAGGCAAUCAUUGCAGUCUCCUCAACGUUCUGAGAAGACUCCAACUUUGAAACAAGCCCACUGGUAGCCUUCUGGAUAGUGUGUCAUUGUAGAAAACAAUGGAAGUCUGAGAUGCUCCCAACAAAGAAGGAAGAGUGCGGAAGAAGUGGCUCUGGAUAGGAUUGAUGUGUCAGGCGUUGCCUUUACCUUGUGUAGACUUAAUAAAUAAAUGUUCAUGGGAAUCAUGUUUUGAGAAUAGUUUUUAUUUUAGAGGGAAAGGAUUGCUUAGCUGUUUUGAUAAAUGCACACACAAUAACUUUAUCUCUCUCUCUGGCACACACUGUCCUGACACAUCUCAGGAUCUAGCGAUUGUAGUGUUCCCACUUGGACAAUCCUCACUAUCUAAAAUGAAAUGGCUUGUGGGCUGGUGAGAUGGCUUUAGAGGGUAAAGGCACAUACCCUGGGUCUGACAGCCCAAGUUCAUUCCCUAGAACCCACAUGGUGGAGGGGAGAAAUGACUCCCACAAGUUCUCUUCUGACUUCCUCACCAAUAAAAAUAUAUUUAAUGUCAACUGAUUUACAACUCCA